rnacentral:rRNA from 1 species
UAAGUAAGCGGAGGAAAAGAAACUAACUAGGAUUCCCUUAGUAAUGGCGAAUGAACAGGGAUCAGCUCAGUGCCAAAUCGGAAUCACUUGUGGUUCUGAAAUGUGGCUUGAAGGCAGUACCAGUGGCAUCGCGGACGAAAGUCUCUUGGAAAAGAGCGUCAUAGAGGGUGAGAAUCCCGUGAGUCGUUCGCCGUUUGUCACGUACGGUCUGCGUUCUAACGAGUCGCGUUCCUUGGGAUUGGAGCGUAAACGGGUGGUAAAUUUCAUCCAAAGCAAAAUAUAUACUCGAGACCGAUAGCACAAAAGUACCGUGAGGGAAAGGUGAAAAGAACUUUGAGAAGAGGGUUAAAUAGUGCCUGAAAUCGUUGAGAAGGAAGCGGAUGCCGCCGUUGCAUAUGCUGAUUGUAGGAUUGCUGCUCGCUCCUGUCUUCUGCUACUCAUUCACAGACCUGGUCGUGUUGAGCAGUUGUUUGGCAGAUGUUAGUGGUGUUUCCUACUUUCAGUCGUCAGCAUCACUGGCUGAGUGGAAAUAAUCCUUGGAUGCUAAUUGGUUCGCUAUCUGUGAAUUGGUUGCUUCCUUGCGAUACUCACUACUCGGUCAGUGAGGAAGUGCGUUUGCUGGUCAACGAGCUUUCUAACUGUCAUUACCCUGCGCUUUUCGAUCCGUCGAGUGGCCAGGAUGUGGCUUUGAGAUUGUUCGCACUUAGUAAUCGCGAUGCUGGCUUCCAACGGUUGCCUCCGGCCCGUCUUGAAACACGGACCAAGGAGUCUAACGUAUGUGCGAGUGUGUGAGUGGCAAACUUAUACGCGUAAUGAAAGUGAGGCCGUAUGGCCAUGUUGGGGUCACCAACAACCGACCUUGAUCUUCGGUGAAAGGUUUGAGUAUGAGCAUAUCCGUUAGGACCCGAAAGAUGGUGAACUAUGCCUGAGCAGGGUGAAGCCAGGGGAAACUCUGGUGGAGGCUCGUAGCGAUA